CCUACGGGAGGCUGCAGUGGGGAAUAUUGGACAAUGGGGGCAACCCUGAUCCAGCCAUGCCGCGUGUGUGAAGAAGGCCCUCGGGUUGUAAAGCACUUUCAGUGAGGAAGAACGCCUGGUGGUUAAUACCCAUCAGGAAAGACAUCACUCACAGAAGAAGCACCGGCUAACUCCGUGCCAGCAGCCGCGGUAAUACGGAGGGUGCGAGCGUUAAUCGGAAUUACUGGGCGUAAAGCGCGCGUAGGUGGCUUGAUAAGCCGGUUGUGAAAGCCCCGGGCUCAACCUGGGAACGGCAUCCGGAACUGUCAAGCUAGAGUGCAGGAGAGGAAGGUAGAAUUCCCGGUGUAGCGGUGAAAUGCGUAGAGAUCGGGAGGAAUACCAGUGGCGAAGGCGGUCUUCUGGACUGACACUGACACUGAGGUGCGAAAGCGUGGGUAGCAAACAGGAUUAGAUACCCCGGUAGUC
rnacentral:rRNA from 1 species